GUUUUUUGACGGAAGUUUUUCAUAUAGGCCAGAUCAAAUUUCAGGUCAUGACCAAGUUUUCCCUGCAGAGCCAAACAGGAAUCGGAAUGUUGUGAGGAUGACAUGGUGGAUGUGGAUGUGGAUGUGGAUGUGGAUGAAACAGGGGAUAUAUCAGGUUGGCUCGCAUGCGAAAUGUAUGAUUCAGCAUAGCUGGAAUAGUUCAUGCGGCUGGAAUUAUCAAUAUCUGGAUGGGCCUUAUUAAAAUUCUACCCAUUCUACCCUCUAUAAAAUUGAAUUACUAACCUCUAGCCAUAUCUUGAAGAUUAUCGUUUUUCAACAGAGAAGGAGGAGAAAACGUGUAUCUGCGCCCUUUUCGGAGUAACAAGGUCAUUGUUGGAGAAGAAACGACUUUCUCAGAGAUGAAAUUGAUGCAAAGGCAUGAGAGAGAAGGAGGGAGUGUCGUCGAAGAAGGAGAGUGUGAAUCGGAACUCAGGGAUGAAGAACAGUAACUUUAGAAGUUGCUUUGUUGAAUUUGUCAACAAUAAGCCUCCCUCUUACAUGCACUGGGGUGCACGGUGUACCCUCUCACAUUUUCUCCUUACAUGUGAGGAGAAAAUGUGAUAGUGACCACUAAUGAGCAUAAAAAUACUCUUGGGGUAUACGGUGCACCCUGGUGCACCCAGGUGCACCUAGUAAUUUUCACAAACUAACUACUCCAAAUUAAAAUUUUAGAUAAAUGAAGGUUAACCAAAUUUUUUAUUUGACCAUGCAUACAAAAAUUAGAACAUUUGUUAGUUUACUAUCCGAACGCGUGACACUAAAUGUAUGGACUAAUCGUGCUCAAUAAUUAAUACGAAGGU